rnacentral:rRNA from 1 species
UACGUAGGGGGCAAGCGUUGUCCGGAAUCAUUGGGCGUAAAGAGCGUGUAGGCGGCUCGAUAAGUCUGCUGUGAAAGUCCAGGGCUCAACCCUGGAAGGCCGGUGGAAACUGUCGGGCUAGAGUCCGGAAGAGGCGAGUGGAAUUCCCGGUGUAGCGGUGAAAUGCGCAGAUAUCGGGAGGAACACCAAUGGCGAAGGCGACUACCUGGCCUGUUCUUGACGCUGAGGCGCGAAAGCUAGGGGAGCAAACGGG